GAUGAACGCUGGCGGCGUGCCUAACACAUGCAAGUCGAGCGAACGGACGAGAAGCUUUCGCUUCUGAUGUUGGCGGCGGACGGGCGAGUAACACGUGGAUAACAUACCUAUAAGACUGGGAUAAUUACGGGAAACCGGAGCUAAUACCGGAUAAUAUUUCGAACUUCAAGGUGCAAAAGUGAAAGACGCUCUUUGUGUCAGUAAUAGACGAACCCGCGCUGCAUCAGCUAGUUGGUAAGGUAGCGGCUUACCAAGGCAACGAUGCAUAGCCGACCUGAGAGGGUGAUCGGCCACCCUGGAACUGAGACACGGUCCAGACUCCUACGGGAGGCAGCAGUAGGGAAUCUUCCGCAAUGGGCGAAAGCCUGACGGAGCAACACCGCGUGAGUGAUGAAGGACUCCGGAUCGUAAAACGCUGUUGUUAGGAGAGAAGAUAAGUGUUUGUAACUGUGAAGAUCAUGACGGUACCUAAAGAAAAAGCCCCGGCUAACUACGUG
rnacentral:rRNA from 1 species